GGUUAAUACCGGUGCCGGUAACCGGAAUGGUGGCUAGAUGAACCAUAAACACAGCAAACCCAAUUGGCAGUGGAGCUAGAACAGGAACGUGAGAAUCUCUAGCACUUCUCUUGGGAUCUGUAGCAGAGAAGACAGUGUAAACAAGAACGAAAGUUCCGAUAAUCUCAGCGCCUAAGCCAGUGCCAGUACUGUAGCCGUCGGCGAGAGAAUUGGCUCCACCGCCGUAGCGAUUGUAAAGACCCUUUUGAAACGAUUUGACCAAAGCACAUCCACAAAUGGCACCAAGACAUUGAGCAACCAUGUACAAAACAGCUCUCACCAACGACACUUUCCGAGCCAAAAACAGCCCAAAUGUCACCGCCGGAUUGAUAUGCCCACCGGAAAUUCCAGCGGUACAGUAGACGAGAACGAAGAUCAUUCCACCGAAAGCCCAAGCGAUGCCGAGAAUGCCAACACCGCCGCAGAUUUGGCCGCCGUUUUUGAUGUCGGACUGGCUACUGUAGCCAAUGACGGUAAGAACAGUGACGUACAAGAAGAGGAGAGUGGCUAUGAACUCAGCGAUGAUGGCUCUGUAAAACGACCACUGAGUGAACUCGUUGGCGUCGAUGAAAGGAGCAGGUGGAGGGUCGUGGUAGUCCUUGGCGGCGAACCCUCCGGCAUCAGAG
rnacentral:misc_RNA from 1 species